rnacentral:rRNA from 1 species
CUUGACGGUACCUAAACCAGAAAGGCCACGGUUAACUACCGUGCCAGCAGCCGCGGUAAUUACGUAGGUGGCCAAGCCUUGUCCUGAAAUAUUUGGCCGUAAAGGGCUCGCGGGCGGUUUUUUUAAGUUUGAUGUGAAAGCCCCCGGCUCAACCGGGGAGGGUUCAUUGGAAACUGGGGAACUUGACUGCAGAAGAGGAGAGUGGAAUUCCACGUGUAGCGAUGAAAUGCGUAGAGAUGUGGAGGAACACCAGUGGCGAAGGCGACUCUUUGGUCUGUAACUGACGCUGAGGAGCGAAAGCGUGGGGAGCGAACAGGAUUAGAUACCCUGGUAGUCCACGCCGUAAACGAUGAGUGCUAAGUGUUAGGGGGUUUCCGCCCCUUAGUGCUGCAGCUAACGCAUUAAGCACUCCGCCUGGGGAGUACGGUCGCAAGACUGAAACUCAAAGGAAUUGACGGGGGCCCGCACAAGCGGUGGAGCAUGUGGUUUAAUUUGAAGCAACGCGAAGAACCUUACCAGGUCUUGACAUCCUUUGACAAUCCUAGAGAUAGGACGUCCCCUUCGGGGGCAGAGUGACAGGUGGUGCAUGGUUGUCGUCAGCUCGUGUCGUGAGAUGUUGGGUUAAGUCCCGCAACGAGCGCAACCCUUGAUUUUAGUUGCCAGCAUUCAGUUGGGCACUCUAAGGUGACUGCCGGUGACAAACCGGAGGAAGGUGGGGAUGACGUCAAAUCAUCAUGCCCCUUAUGACCUGGGCUACACACGUGCUACAAUGGACAGAACAAAGGGCAGCGAAACCGCGAGGUUAAGCCAAUCCCACAAAUCUGUUCUCAGUUCGGAUCGCAGUCUGCAACUCGACUGCGUGAAGCUGGAAUCGCUAGUAAUCGCGGAUCAGCAUGCCGCGGUGAAUACGUUCCCGGGCCUUGUACACACCGCCCGUCACACCACGAGAGUUUGUAACACCCGAAGUCGGUGAGGUAACCUUUUAGGAGCCAGCCGCCGAAGGUGGGACAGAUGAUUGGGGGAAGUCGUUACAAGGAGCCGUUGAGGCC